GCUCAGGACGAACGCUAGCGGCAGGCUUAACACAUGCAAGUCGAGGGGUACGACUCCGUCUUCGGAUGGAGGUCGACGACCGGCGCACGGGUGAGUAACGCGUAUGCAACCUACCUUUUACAGGAGGAUAGCCCAGAGAAAUUUGGAUUAAUACUCCAUAGUACUAAUGAAUCACCUGGUUUAUUAGUUAAAACUCCGGUGGUAAAAGAUGGGCAUGCGUGUCAUUAGCUAGUUGGUAAGGUAACGGCUUACCAAGGCGAAGAUGACUAGGGGUUCUGAGAGGAAGAUCCCCCACACUGGUACUGAGACACGGACCAGACUCCUACGGGAGGCAGCAGUGAGGAAUAUUGGUCAAUGGGUGAGAGCCUGAACCAGCCAUGCCGCGUGAAGGAAGACUGCCCUAUGGGUUGUAAACUUCUUUUCUGCAGGAAGAAAUCACUCUACGUGUAGGGUGUUGCCGGUACUGCAGGAAUAAGCAUCGGCUAACUCCGUGCCAGCAGCCGCGGUAAUACGGAGGAUGCAAGCGUUAUCCGGAUUUAUUGGGUUUAAAGGGUGCGUAGGCGGGCUUGUAAGUCAGUGGUGAAAUGCUGUGGCUUAACCAUAGAAUUGCCAUUGAAACUGCAAGUCUUGAGUACAGUUGAGGUGGGCGGAAUGAGUAAUGUAGCGGUGAAAUGCAUAGAUAUUACUCAGAACUCCGAUUGCGUAGGCAGCUUGCUAAACUGUAACUGACGCUGAUGCACGAAAGCGUGGGGAGCGAACAGGAUUAGAUACCCUGGUAAUCCACGCUGUGAACGAUGAGCACUGG
rnacentral:rRNA from 1 species